UACGAGGGGGGCGAGCGUUGUUCGGAAUUAUUGGGCGUAAAGGGUGCGUAGGCGGUUUGGUAAGUCUGAUGUGAAAUCUAUGGGCUCAACUCAUAGUCUGCAUCGGAAACUGCCGGGCUUGAGUAUGGGAGAGGUGAGUAGAAUUCCUGGUGUAGCGGUGAAAUGCGUAGAUAUCAGGAGGAACACCUGUGGCGAAAGCGGCUCACUGGACCAUAACUGACGCUGAUGCACGAAAGCUAGGGGAGCAAACAGG
rnacentral:rRNA from 1 species